rnacentral:rRNA from 1 species
CAGCCGCCACGGGAACACGGAGGAUCCAAGCGUUAUCCGGAAUCAUUGGGUUUAAAGGGUCCGUAGGCGGUCUUGUAAGUCAGUGGUGAAAGCCCAUCGCUCAACGGUGGAACGGCCAUUGAUACUGCAGGACUUGAAUUAUUGGGAAGUAACUAGAAUAUGUAGUGUAGCGGUGAAAUGCUUAGAGAUUACAUGGAAUACCAAUUGCGAAGGCAGGUUACUACCAAUUGAUUGACGCUGAUGGACGAAAGCGUGGGUAGCGAACAGGAUUAGAUACCCCCGUAGUCCCUGUCUCUUAUAC